AGUGUAGGCGGUCUAGAAAGUCUGAUGUGAAAACCCGGGGCUCAACCGCGGGAUUGCAUUGGAAACUUUUAGACUAGAGUAUCGGAGAGGCAAGCGGAAUUCCUGGUGUAGAGGUGAAAUUCGUAGAUAUCAGGAAGAACAUCGGUGGCGAAGGCGGCUUGCUGGACGACAACUGACGCUGAGGCUCGAAAGCGUGGGAAGCGAACA
rnacentral:rRNA from 1 species